GAUGAACGCUGGCGGCGUGCCUAAUACAUGCAAGUCGAGCGAACAGACGAGGAGCUUGCUCCUCUGACGUUAGCGGCGGACGGGUGAGUAACACGUGGAUAACCUACCUAUAAGACUGGGAUAACUUCGGGAAACCAGAGCUAAUACCGGAUAACAUGUUGAACCGCAUGGUUCAACAGUGAAAGACGGUUUUGCUGUCACUUAUAGAUGGAUCCGCGCCGCAUUAGCUAGUUGGUAAGGUAACGGCUUACCAAGGCAACGAUGCGUAGCCGACCUGAGAGGGUGAUCGGCCACACUGGAACUGAGACACGGUCCAGACUCCUACGGGAGGCAGCAGUAGGGAAUCUUCCGCAAUGGGCGAAAGCCUGACGGAGCAACGCCGCGUGAGUGAAGAAGGUCUUCGGAUCGUAAAACUCUGUUAUUAGGGAAGAACAAAUGUGUAAGUAACUAUGCACGUCUUGACGGUACCUAAUCAGAAAGCCACGGCUAACUACGUG
rnacentral:rRNA from 1 species